UACGUAGGGUGCAAGCGUUGUCCGGAAUUAUUGGGCGUAAAGAGCUCGUAGGCGGUCUGUCGCGUCUGCUGUGAAAACUCGGGGCUUAACCCCGAGCCUGCAGUGGGUACGGGCAGACUAGAGUGCGGUAGGGGAGACUGGAAUUCCUGGUGUAGCGGUGAAAUGCGCAGAUAUCAGGAGGAACACCGGUGGCGAAGGCGGAUCUCUGGGCCUGUCCUGACGCUGAGGCGCGAAAGCUAGGGUAGCAAACGGG
rnacentral:rRNA from 1 species